rnacentral:rRNA from 1 species
CUGCAGUCGAGCGGAUGAAAGUAGCUUGCUACCGGAUUCAGCGGCGGACGGGUGAGUAAUGCUUAGGAAUCUGCCUAUUAGUGGGGGACAACGUUCCCAAAGGAGCGCUAAUACCGCAUACGUCCUACGGGAGAAAGCAGGGGACCUUUGGGCCUUGCGCUAAUAGAUGAGCCUAAGUCGGAUUAGCUAGUUGGUAGGGUAAAGGCCUACCAAGGCGACGAUCUGUAGCGGGUCUGAGAGGAUGAUCCGCCACACUGGGACUGAGACACGGCCCAGACUCCUACGGGAGGCAGCAGUGGGGAAUAUUGGACAAUGGGGGGAACCCUGAUCCAGCCAUGCCGCGUGUGUGAAGAAGGCCUUUUGGUUGUAAAGCACUUUAAGCGAGGAGGAGGCUACCUAGAUUAAUACUUUAGGAUAGUGGACGUUACUCGCAGAAUAAGCACCGGCUAACUCUGUGCCAGCAGCCGCGGUAAUACAGAGGGUGCGAGCGUUAAUCGGAUUUACUGGGCGUAAAGCGUGCGUAGGCGGCCAAUUAAGUCAAAUGUGAAAUCCCCGAGCUUAACUUGGGAAUUGCAUUCGAUACUGGUUGGCUAGAGUAUGGGAGAGGAUGGUAGAAUUCCAGGUGUAGCGGUGAAAUGCGUAGAGAUCUGGAGGAAUACCGAUGGCGAAGGCAGCCAUCUGGCCUAAUACUGACGCUGAUGUACGACAGCAUGGGGAGCAAACAAGAUUAGAUACCCUGCCAGUCCAUGCCGUACACGCAUGUCUACUAGUCGAUGGGGGCGCUGUGAC